rnacentral:rRNA from 1 species
AUGCAAACUACGAAUACCGAAGAAUGUUAUCACGGGAGACACACGGCGGGUGCUAACGUCCGUCGUGAAGAGGGAAACAACCCAGACCGCCAGCUAAGGUCCCAAAGUCAUGGUUAAGUGGGAAACGAUGUGGGAAGGCACAGACAGCCAGGAUGUUGGCUUAGAAGCAGCCAUCAUUUAAAGAAAGCGUAAUAGCUCACUGGUCGAGUCGGCCUGCGCGGAAGAUGUAACGGGGCUAAACCAUGCACCGAAGCUGCGGCAGCGACACUAUGUGUUGUUGGGUAGGGGAGCGUUCUGUAAGCCUGCGAAGGUGACCUGUGAGGGUUGCUGGAGGUAUCAGAAGUGCGAAUGCUGACAUAAGUAACGAUAAAGCGGGUGAAAAGCCCGCUCGCCGGAAGACCAAGGGUUCCUGUCCAACGUUAAUCGGGGCAGGGUGAGUCGACCCCUAAGGCGAGGCCGAAAGGCGUAGUCGAUGGGAAACAGGUUAAUAUUCCUGUACUUGGUGUUACUGCGAAGGGGGGACGGAGAAGGCUAUGUUAGCCGGGCGACGGUUGUCCCGGUUUAAGCAUGUAGGCUGGUUGUCCAGGCAAAUCCGGAUAACCAAGGCUGAGGUGUGAUGACGAGGCACUACGGUGCUGAAGUAACAAAUGCCCUGCUUCCAGGAAAAGCCUCUAAGCAUCAGGUAACAUCAAAUCGUACCCCAAACCGACACAGGUGGUCAGGUAGAGAAUACCAAGGCGCUUGAGAGAACUCGGGUGAAGGAACUAGGCAAAAUGGUGCCGUAACUUCGGGAGAAGGCACGCUGGUGUGUAGGUGAAGUCCCUGCGGAUGGAGCUGAGACCAGUCGAAGAUACCAGCUGGCUGCAACUGUUUAUUAAAAACACAGCACUGUGCAAACACGAAAGUGGACGUAUACGGUGUGACGCCUGCCCGGUGCCGGAAGGUUAAUUGAUGGGGUUAUCCGUAAGGAGAAGCUCUUGAUCGAAGCCCCGGUAAACGGCGGCCGUAACUAUAACGGUCCUAAGGUAGCGAAAUUCCUUGUCGGGUAAGUUCCGACCUGCACGAAUGGCGUAAUGAUGGCCAGGCUGUCUCCACCCGAGACUCAGUGAAAUUGAACUCGCUGUGAAGAUGCAGUGUACCCGCGGCAAGACGGAAAGACCCCGUGAACCUUUACUAUAGCUUGACACUGAACAUUGAGCCUUGAUGUGUAGGAUAGGUGGGAGGCUUUGAAGCGUGGACGCCAGUCUGCGUGGAGCCAACCUUGAAAUACCACCCUUUAAUGUUUGAUGUUCUAACGUUGGCCCCUGACCGGGGUUGCGGACAGUGUCUGGUGGGUAGUUUGACUGGGGCGGUCUCCUCCCAAAGCGUAACGGAGGAGCACGAAGGUUAGCUAAUCCUGGUCGGACAUCAGGAGGUUAGUGCAAUGGCAUAAGCUAGCUUGACUGCGAGCGUGACGGCGCGAGCAGGUGCGAAAGCAGGUCAUAGUGAUCCGGUGGUUCUGAAUGGAAGGGCCAUCGCUCAACGGAUAAAAGGUACUCCGGGGAUAACAGGCUGAUACCGCCCAAGAGUUCAUAUCGACGGCGGUGUUUGGCACCUCGAUGUCGGCUCAUCACAUCCUGGGGCUGAAGUAGGUCCCAAGGGUAUGGCUGUUCGCCAUUUAAAGUGGUACGCGAGCUGGGUUUAGAACGUCGUGAGACAGUUCGGUCCCUAUCUGCCGUGGGCGCUGGAGAAUUGAGGGGGGCUGCUCCUAGUACGAGAGGACCGGAGUGGACGCAUCACUGGUGUUCGGGUUGUCAUGCCAAUGGCACUGCCCGGUAGCUAAAUGCGGAAGAGAUAAGUGCUGAAAGCAUCUAAGCACGAAACUUGCCCCGAGAUGAGUUCUCCCUGAGACUUUAAGUCUCCUGAAGGAACGUUGAAGACGACGACGUUGAUAGGCCGGGUGUGUAAGCGCAGCGAUGCGUUGAGCUAACCGGUACUAAUGAACCGUGAGGCUUAACCUU